CCCUUAGAUGUUCUGGGCUGCACGCGCGCUACACUGACAUGUCCAGCGAGCUCCCAACCUGCUCGGCAAAGAAUGGGUACCCUUUUUAACGCAUGUCGUGAUGGGGAUAGAUUAUUGCAAUUGUUGAUCUUGAACGAGGAAUUCCUAGUAAGUGCAAGUCAUUAGCUUGUGCUGAAUACGUCCCUGCCCUUUGUACACACCGCCCGUCGCUCCUACCGAUUGGGUGUGCUGGUGAAAUGUUCGGAUCGGCCGUUUGUCGCGGUUUCCGCGGCUCGUGGCUGAGAAGUUCAUUAAACCCUCCCACCUAGAGGAAGGAGAAGUCGUAACA
rnacentral:rRNA from 1 species